rnacentral:lncRNA from 1 species
CAUAACAUCAUCAUUUACAGCUUUGUAUUUCAGCAUCUUCAUUCAAAGGUUGUACCAAGCCUUUCAAUCAAACAUGACCCACAGAAUCAACCAACUGGGGUUCACUGGGGCUCACAAAGACCAAUGCAGCAAUCAUGGAGCCUGCAUGCAUCUGAGGUUUUGUCCCCUACUCGGAUUCCGGUUUCAGCUCAAAUCAACUGAUCGUCAUAACAGAGUGGAGGGAAGAAGCAAUUCUAUUGCCUUACUUGCAGAAUUAUGGGUAGCGGAGGAAGAAGGGGAUCCGGUCAGCACCACGGACAGCGCAAGGCGCAGAGGGCGCGGCCACUUUGGUGCAUCUUUUCCCGGCCUCGCCUUUGUUCCCAGGCCAGGCAGGCCACUACAGAACAAAGACUUCUAUCAAGGCUUUCUCCUUAGCCUUGGUUUUCUUAGGCUCCAAG